rnacentral:rRNA from 1 species
CCUACGGGGUGCUGCAGUGAGGAAUAUUGGUCAAUGGGCGCGAGCCUGAACCAGCCAAGUAGCGUGAAGGAUGACUGCCCUACGGGUUGUAAACUUCUUUUAUAAAGGACUAAAGUGAGGCACGUGUGCCUUUUUGUCUGUACUUUAUGAAUAAGGAUCGGCUAACUCCGUGCCAGUAGCCGCGGUAAUACGGAGGAUCCGAGCGUUAUCCGGAUUUAUUGGGGUUAAAGGGAGCGUAGAUGGGUUGUUAAGUCAGUUGGUAAAGUUUGGGGCUCAACCGUAAAAUUGCAAUUGAUACUGGCAGCCUUGAGUACAGUCGAGGUAGGCGGAAUUCGUGGAGUAGCGGUGAAAUGCUUAGAUAUCACGAAGAACUCCGAUUGCGAAGGCAGCUUACUAAACUGCCACUGACAUUGAUGCUCGAAAGUGUGGGUAUCAAACAGGAUUAGAUACCCGGGUAGUC